AUGAACGCUAGCGGCAGGCUUAAUACAUGCAAGUCGAGGGGGCAGCGCAGUGUAGCAAUACAUGGGCGGCGACCGGCAAACGGGUGCGGAACACGUACACAACCUUCCUACAAGUGGGGGAAUAGCCCAGAGAAAUUUGGAUUAAUGCCCCAUAGUAUAUUUGAAUGGCAUCAUUUAAAUAUUAAAGUUCAGGCGGUACAAGAUGAGCAUGCGUCCCAUUAGCUAAUUGGUAUGGUAACGGCAUACCAAGGCAAUGAUGGGUAGGGGUCCUGAGAGGGAGAUCCCCCACACUGGUACUGAGACACGGACCAGACUCCUACGGGAGGCAGCAGUGAGGAAUAUUGGGCAAUGGGCGCUAGCCUGACCCAGCCAUGCCGCGUGCAGGAAGACGGUCCUAUGGAUUGUAAACUGCUUUUGUACGGGAAGAAACCCUACUACGUGUAAUAGAUUGACGGUACCGUACGAAUAAGGAUCGGCUAACUCCGUG
rnacentral:rRNA from 1 species